UCGUUUAUUUGAUAGUACCUUACUACAUGGAUACCUGUGGUAAUUCUAGAGCUAAUACAUGCUGAAAACCUCGACUUCGGAAGGGGUGUAUUUAUUAGAUAAAAAACCAAUGCCCUUCGGGGCUCCUUGGUGAAUCAUAAUAACUUAACGAAUCGCAUGGCCUUGCGCCGGCGAUGGUUCAUUCAAAUUUCUGCCCUAUCAACUUUCGAUGGUAGGAUAGUGGCCUACCAUGGUGGCAACGGGUAACGGGGAAUUAGGGUUCGAUUCCGGAGAGGGAGCCUGAGAAACGGCUACCACAUCCAAGGAAGGCAGCAGGCGCGCAAAUUACCCAAUCCCGACACGGGGAGGUAGUGACAAUAAAUACUGAUACGGGGCUCUUUUGGGUCUCGUAAUUGGAAUGAGUACAAUCUAAAUCCCUUAACGAGGAACAAUUGGAGGGCAAGUCUGGUGCCAGCAGCCGCGGUAAUUCCAGCUCCAAUAGCGUAUAUUAAAGUUGUUGCAGUUAAAAAGCUCGUAGUUGAACCUUGGGUCUGGCUGGCCGGUCCGCCUCACCGCGAGUACUGGUCCGGCUGGACCUUUCCUUCUGGGGAAUCUCAUGGCCUUCACUGGCUGUGGGGGGAACCAGGACUUUUACUGUGAAAAAAUUAGAGUGUUCAAAGCAGGCCUUUGCUCGAAUACAUUAGCAUGGAAUAAUAGAAUAGGACGUGCGGUUCUAUUUUGUUGGUUUCUAGGACCGCCGUAAUGAUUAAUAGGGAUAGUCGGGGGCGUCAGUAUUCAGCUGUCAGAGGUGAAAUUCUUGGAUUUGCUGAAGACUAACUACUGCGAAAGCAUUCGCCAAGGAUGUUUUCAUUAAUCAGGGAACGAAAGUUAGGGG
rnacentral:rRNA from 1 species